UUUAUUAGAUGAAAACAUUGUCGUAAUAUGUGAAGUCUUGCUUAAGAAUGCUCUGGGCACCUAGUUGUAGAAGGUAGAAUGGAAAUUGCUACAACAAAAUCCUAAUUCUAAUAGAACGCUAACAAUGCUAAAUAAGCUUUAAUCAAAUUCAGAGAAACCUCAAAGGAAUUACAAAGAAAUAAUAAGAAAUCUUAAAGAAAUAUUAGAAUGAUUACAAACAUAUGUCAAAUACAUCUCAAUUCAAUCUUAAUUUAAUCCCAGUUGAAAUCCUAUUAGACUUCAUUCCAACUUUAGGCCAAAAACUAACUAAAUCUUAAAUCCUAAACAAACUCAAAUAAAAUACUUAAAUCCUAAAUCAAAUCCUGACCAAACUCUAACUAAAUCUUAAACUCUAAACCAAAUCCUAAACCCUAAACUAAAUUCUAAACCUUAAAUCAAAUCCUAACCAAUCCUAAACCAAAUCCUAAACCCUAAACCAAAUCCUAAACUCUAAACCAAAUCCUAUACCUUAAAUCAAAUCUUAACUAAAUCUUAAUCCUAAAUCAAACACUAACCAAAUCCUAAAACCUAAAUCAAAUCCUAACCAAAUCCUAACCCUAACUCAAACCCUAACCAAACCUUAAUUCUAAAUCAAACCCUAACCAAACUCCAAUCUUAAAUCCUAAACCAAAUCUUUACCAAAUCCUAAUCCUAAAUCAAAUCCUAAUCAAAUCCUAAAUCAAAUCCUAAUCCUAAAUCAAAUCCUAACCAAAUCCUAACCAAAUCCUAACCUUAAAUCAAAUCUUAACCAAAUCCUAAACUCUAAAUCAAAUCCUAACCAAAUCUU
rnacentral:lncRNA from 1 species